AGUAGUUUGAUCAGUGGCUCAAGAACGAACGCUGGGCGGCAGGCCUAACACAUGCAAGUCGAACGCCCUAGCAAGUAGGGAGUGGCGCACGGGUGCGUAACGCGUGGGAAUAUGCCCUUGACUACGGAACAACACAGGGAAACUUGUGCUAAUACCGUAUAAUGUCUCCGGACCAAAGAUUUAUCGGUCAAGGAUUAGCCCGCGUUAGAUUAGCUAGUUGGUGAGGUAAUGGCUCACCAAGGCUACGAUCUAUAGCUGGUCUGAGAGGAUGAUCAGCCACACUGGGACUGAGACACGGCCCAGACUCCUACGGGAGGCAGCAGUGAGGAAUAUUGGACAAUGGGGGCAACCCUGAUCCAGCCAUGCCGCGUGAGUGAUGAAGGCCUUCGGGUUGUAAAACUCUUUUAGAUGUGACGAUGAUGACGGUAACAUCAGAAAAAGCUCCGGCUAACUUCGUG
rnacentral:rRNA from 1 species